rnacentral:lncRNA from 1 species
CAGAGAGUUUGGGCUUAUUGGACUUAAUGCCUCUUAAGGUUUCAUCCAAUUCUAUGAUCCCGUGACUUGCAAAACACCCCAGAUGUGAAAUAGGAUGCUUUGUUACCUAACGUCACUAAGAGAAGAACUGGUGUAGGAUUUUCAAGUCAUUCGGCAGACACGAACCUCCUUAGGGAGGCACUGACAUGCACACAGCCUUUGGAUUUUAACAAAGAAUCUGCCAGAUUUGUGUUGCUUUCCCUUCUCAUCAGGGUUGCAAGGUCUGAGCACCAAGAAUAUUCUGCUGCUCUGUAGAUGAGGAAUAUACAUUUGAUGAAUGCAUGAAUGAACGGAUCAAAGGCAACGUAUAGAAUGAAAAUCCAGAUUGAAUUUGUUACACAGCUUCCGAGAACACUCAGGCCCGGCUUCCAAGUGCAAUCCUCCUGGCCGGGAGUCAGCAGCCCACGCACAUGCGCGCAGGGCGUUGCGCCAGGGCCGGUUCUUGCUUUGCCUGACCCUCUGCAGCCUCUGCUUUUCUGGAACUUGUGGUGCAGUGUCGCCUUCUCCGCGGGCACCUUCCGUGGGUUGCCCCAAGUGCACAGCCUCUGGCCGAAAUGCCAUCAUCUUAAAGGUGUUCCAGCUGAGCCAAUGUCUCCCAAACGCUUGCUCGCAACUGAGAAAAUGCCAAGCCAACUUUCUGCCUUCUCCUGUCCUACAUCCAGGCCUAUGAGAUUCCCUGGAGGAAAAAGACAGAAGCAAAUCCAUGUUUCUGCAAUUCUAUCUUCUCCUACCUGAGCCAG